rnacentral:rRNA from 1 species
AACUUGGCAGAGAUGCCUUGGUGCCUUCGGGAACGCUGAGACAGGUGCUGCAUGGCUGUCGUCAGCUCGUGUUGUGAAAUGUUGGGUUAAGUCCCGCAACGAGCGCAACCCUUAUCCUUUGUUGCCAGCGAUUCGGUCGGGAACUCAAAGGAGACUGCCGGUGAUAAACCGGAGGAAGGUGGGGAUGACGUCAAGUCAUCAUGGCCCUUACGAGUAGGGCUACACACGUGCUACAAUGGCGCAUACAAAGAGAAGCGACCUCGCGAGAGCAAGCGGACCUCAUAAAGUGCGUCGUAGUCCGGAUCGGAGUCUGCAACUCGACUCCGUGAAGUCGGAAUCGCUAGUAAUCGUGGAUCAGAAUGCCACGGCGAAUACGUUCCCGGGCCUUGUACACACCGCCCGUCACACCAUGGGAGUGGGUUGCAAAAGAAGUAGGUAGCUUAACCUUCGGGAGGGCGCUUACCACUUUGUGAUUCAUGACUGGGGUGAAGUCGUAACAAGGUAAGCGUAGCGAG